rnacentral:rRNA from 1 species
GAUGAACGCUGGCGGCGUGCCUAAUACAUGCAAGUCGAGCGAACGGACGAGAAGCUUGCUUUUCUGAUGUUAGCGGCGGACGGGUGAGUAACACGUGGAUAACCUACCUAUAAGACUGGGAUAACUUCGGGAAACCGGAGCUAAUACCGGAUAAUAUUUUGAACCGCAUGGUUCAAAAGUGAAAGACGGUCUUGCUGUCACUUAUAGAUGGAUCCGCGCUGCAUUAGCUAGUUGGUAAGGUAACGGCUUACCAAGGCAACGAUGCAUAGCCGACCUGAGAGGGCGAUCGGCCACACUGGAACUGAGACACGGUCCAGACUCCUACGGGAGGCAGCAGUAGGGAAUCUUCCGCAAUGGGCGAAAGCCUGACGGAGCAACGCCGCGUGAGUGAUGAAGGUCUUCGGAUCGUAAAACUCUGUUAUUAGGGAAGAACAUAUGUGUAAGUAACUGUGCACAUCUUGACGGUACCUAAUCAGAAAGCCACGGCUAACUACGUG